rnacentral:sRNA from 1 species
CAGGGAGCUGUGCGGUGGCCUGAGGCUCCAGUGCUCUGUCCUCCUCAUCCUAGGGGGCCAACUGUAGCUCAGGAGCCUCGUUCUCAGGCCGGACGCUGUGUCACCCCUCGUUCUGGCCGCUGUAUGAAGCAGCUUCGGGCAGGGGUCUCAGGCCCGUGGCCCCUGCCACAGGGCACUGGAAUGGACAGCAGGCGCCCCCAGAUGCAGGUACCUCCCUUGGUCCCCCGGGGGCGCAAGGCUGCCCCAACUCCUCUGGGAACCAGUGCCCAGGGGUGGGAGCCCGCAGCCCGCCACCCUAGUGGUGUUUCCUCCUAGGGUUCCCGGUGGUGUGCUGUGAAGAUGUCUUCCUCUCGGACCCUCUGCUGCCCCGGGGGCAGCGUGUUCCCCUGUACCUGUCCAAGGCCCCCCAGCAGAUGAUGGGCUCCCUGAAACUGCUGCCGCCACCCCCCAUCAUGUCUGCCAGGGUGCUCCCCCGCCCAUCACCCUCCCGGGGCCCCUCCACUGCCUGGCUCAGCGGGCCGGAGCUGAUCGCUCUCACUGGCCUGCUGCAGAUGAGCCAGGGGGAGCCUAGGCCCAGCUCCUCCGCGGUUGGCCCCCCAGACCAUACCUCUGACCCACCCAGCCCCUGUGGUAGCCCCAGCAGUUCUCAGGGUGCUGACCUCUCUCUC